GACGAACGCUGGCGGCGUGCCUAACACGUGCAAGUCGAGCGGGGAUUUAAGUGGAAGUUCUUCGGAAUGGAGAUUUAAAUUCUAGCGGCGGACGGGUGAGUAACGCGUGAACAAUCUGUCCCGGACAGGGGGAUAACACUUGGAAACAGGUGCUAAUACCGCAUAAGACCACGGCCUCGCAUGGGGCUGAGGUAAAAGGAGCAAUCCGGUUCGGGGUGAGUUCGCGUCCGAUUAGCUAGUUGGUGAGGUAACGGCCCACCAAGGCGACGAUCGGUAGCCGGCCUGAGAGGGUGAACGGCCACAUUGGAACUGAGAGACGGUCCAAACUCCUACGGGAGGCAGCAGUGGGGAAUAUUGGGCAAUGGGCGAAAGCCUGACCCAGCAACGCCGCGUGAGGGAAGAAGGUUUUCGGAUUGUAAACCUCUGUCCUAUGGGACGAAGGAAGUGACGGUACCAUAGGAGGAAGCCCCGGCUAACUACGUG
rnacentral:rRNA from 1 species